UACGAAGGGGGCUAGCGUUGUUCGGAAUCACUGGGCGUAAAGCGCAUGCAGGCGGAUCGCUAAGUCGGGGGUGAAAUCCCGAGGCUCAACCUCGGAACUGCCUUCGAUACUGGCGAUCUUGAGUCCGGGAGAGGUGAGUGGAACUCCGAGUGUAGAGGUGAAAUUCGUAGAUAUUCGGAAGAACACCGAUAGCGAAGGCAGCUCACUAGGCCUGGAUUGACGCUCAGGGACGAAAGCGUGGGGAGCAAACAGG
rnacentral:rRNA from 1 species